rnacentral:tRNA from 1 species
GGGUUGGAGCUCAGUGGUAAAGUGCUUGCCUAGCAUGUGAGAGUCACUGGGUUUGAUCCUCAGUAAUGCA